GGGAGACUGUCUGGAAUCCGGAGACUGUCCUCUCCAGCUUAGUCAGAACAAUGCUGUUAGGAACAUGAGUCCUUCGGGCUGUGAUAAGGAAGAGGACAUUUAAGGCCAGCAGAGAAUCCUGAUUUUCAUUUGGACUCGUGCUGCUCAGAGUAAAAACUACAAUAUCCCAGGCUCCUUUGCAGCUAGAAAUAGUCAUGUGACUAAGUUCUGGCCAGAGCUAUGGGCUUGAAAGCAAGAUGUGUUUUUCUUCUGUUCCUCAUUUCAUCAGCUGGAUGUGGAUGUUAUGAUGACAAAACUGAAGCCUCAAGAGCCUGACUUGCUCAUGGUGACAGCAGAAAUGAGAGGAGGACUCAAGAAUUGGACUUCAGAGUUCUCAUGUUCACGGCCAUAUUGAAAUUCCUAUGGGGUCUGCAUUGCAGGACUCCUCCCAGCUACACUGCAGUAUCAGUGGGGACAUGCUUUGCACAUUCUUGCCUUCAGCUCUCUGGCACUAUUUGCUCCAUGAAUUAUUCAAUGGCCUGGUGGCCAUUGCAGGCCAUAUGCAGAUGGCCCUGGAGAAUGCAUGGUGCACAGGGUAAUUCUAGUUUUCCAAUUAGCAGCAAGGUGCUGAGCUGCGAGCCCGAAGCCUACCUAUCUCCAGGAAUGGGUUACAGCUCUUCUCCACAGGGCAGUGCCAGGCUUUGUCAUUUCAUUCACCUCUGCAGUGUCUUCCUCUUGUUCUCCUCCUCCCAGAGGUCAUCUAUUUUCUACUCCCCUGAGAGCUCCAAGGCAAGGCUAAGAGUUAGAGGGGCACACUGCAGCAGAAAUGUGCAAGAGAAAAUGUGUAGGGAAUAAGGAAAGGGGACAUUACUAGAACCUCUGCAGUGGGUCCUAGUGUCCUGCGAGCCAUGGCAGCACAAGACGAAUUAACUUAUUAUACAGGAAAGGUAGAAAAAUGAGACUUUGAGAAGAAGCUGAGCUUUGGGCCUGAUCAGUGCUGCUCUGGGCGGCAAAGAGGAAAGCCCCCAGCUUCCUGCACCUUUUAUUCAGUAGGUCAGGAGAAAUAGAUGUAACAAAUGACUCAGGACAGAGAGUUCAGUGCAUGGGGAUAAACAAGGUGUAACAAUCCAAGAACAAUGAGGAACUGAGAAGAUGAAGAUUUGGUUCCUCCCAGGAUGUCUUCAGCUCGUGUAAUCUUGUCCUGGAGAAUCACAGUAUCACCGGAUCGUUGAGGUCUCAGUUGUGACCUGCGGGCCAAAAUAGAAUUAUGUCUCAAAAUGCCAUAGCUGGCCUGUAGGCAGGAGAAGUAGAAUUUUUCCCUAAAAUUAUGUAGCAUUGCUCCUGACAAAAAUGAAAUGAGAUGAAAGAUCGCCAUGAAGAGGUCUUGGGGGGAUUUCGUUAUUCAAAAGAAUUAUGAACAUAAUUCAAAAAAAGCACCAAUGGAGCUGAGCUGAGACGGAGCAUUGCUGUACAUCUUGUUUGAGCAAAUUGGUUCUUCGGUAUCUGAGUACUUGACUUUGUGCAGUGCAAGUCAGUCGCCUUCUUUGCCUCUGUUUCAUAAAGAAGAGGGCAGAGACCAUUUUCACCAACUGUGGGGAGGGUACAGUCACUAGGGAAGGGGUGUAGUCAAUUAUUUGCAGAAUGGCCUUUUGACAUGAAGACAUUGGAUAAGAUUAAUUUUUUGAUCUGUUGCAACAAGUGUGAGGCUAGGGGUAUUGUUCUUUCUUGAGAUUUUUCUCAUCUUGCCAGCAGAAAAAGUUGGGCAUCUUGUAGGAGGCUGAUGCGUCCUUACCUCACAGAUAGUAUGAAUUAUGUACCUGGUAAUGGUGCCCUCUUCCCUCUGGCUGUUUACAGAAGGCAGAACCUCUCUGUCUGCCCAGCUCUGGAAGCACGAGGGAUUUCACAGGAAUGCCUUUUAUGUUCUAGCUUACCCACGGUGCUAUUCUAGUCUAUCUUAUUUUCUUUGUCUUUUUCUCCCCUGGCUUAUGUUUAACUGACUGCCCCUUGUUGAACUGUAUGCAUCUAUGCCAGCCAUCCUUGGUCUUUCCCAAGAUGAAACCAAUAAAC
rnacentral:lncRNA from 1 species